UGGGUGCAAUGGCAUGAUCAUAGCUCACUGCAGCCUCGAACUCCUGGGGUCCAGUGAUUCUCCUGCCUCAGCGUCCCUUGUAAUUGGACUACAGGACCAAGCAAAGGCCUUGUGAGGACGUAACCAGGAAGAGAGUGCUCACCAGAACCUGACCAUACCGGCACCUUGAUCUCAAACUUCCAGCUUCCAGAACCAUGAGAAAUCAAUGUUUGUUGUUUUAACCACCCAGUCUAUAGAAAUUUGUUAUAGCCACCCCAGCUGACUACCACAUUGGGCAUCACAGCAAACACUACAACCAGAUGACAGAUUAAAAAAAGAAACAACCUGCUGAAAGGCUGAAACGCCCUCUGCUUAUCACAUAAAAGAAAUGGCUGAAAUCCUUUGGAACCAAUAUGACCAACUGGAGUCGGUGCAGAAGGAGCUUGCUGACAGCACAGCCUGAAUUUCCACCGUAUGUUUCAUACCAACUCCCCCUGAAUUUGCACAUGUGACACAUGAGAUAGCAUGAAGAGAUAACUGAGCAUGCCCAAGGACUUUCCAGACUUCUGCUUUCCUUCCACCAAUCACCUGCUAAUCUCAGAAUCCACCCCCUGAAACUUUUCUAAUAAAAAUACCGCUUUGAAGCCAGUACAGGGAGACAGAUUUGAGCUUGACUUCUGUCUCCUUGGGAUUGACUUUCAAUACAAAGCUUUUCUUUUCUCAAAAACAUGGUGUCAUAGCAUGGGCUUCUAGUGCAUUGGACAGUGAGCCCCUUUUACUCGAUAACAAUAUCAGCUAUGUUUUUCUCCCUCUUUCACUGUGGACUAAGCAUUCAACUUUCUUUUAUUAAUCCUUUAAAAUCCUAUACCAUUUGCAAGAUUUGCUUUAUGCACAUUGGCAAUACAGUACAAAUACAGUGUGUUUGAUUUGCACUGUAGUUGUACUGUAUUGCCACUCUGUAUAAAAAUCCAGUCAUCAGCUAGAUACCUACCUAACAAAAAAGUUGUUCCUAGAAGGAAGGAAGCAAAGCUAAUGUUUAAUGGAUAUGACUGUUUGAGUGGCUUUUAUAAGCAGUCAUUUGAUAAAUAAACAUUUCUAGGUUAUGAUGACUUUUAGUCUCCUAUACUGCUUCAGACUUCAGGGACUCAGAUAAUGAAUGCUGAGAUAAUGUGGAUGUUUUAUCAUUCUGUAGCAUUCUGAUCAUGGAUUCCAGAUACAUAAAGGUAAAGUUCUAACCUUAUAAAGAAACAACAUGGUCAGUGAAAGAGCACUGGGCUGGAAAUUACAAGUUCCAUGUCCCAGUGCAGAAUCUGCCACUAAGUAAGCUGUGAAGGCUUAGGCAAGCCAUUUCACUUUUCUCUGGCCCAUUUUAUUUGUAUGAAGAGAAAGAGAAAGGAAUUCAUUGUGAUUCUCAAGUUUUUCACUCCCCAAAGAUUCCCUUUAUUCCUCCCCCCAUUUUCAUAUGUUGAGAAAUUGUGUCUACUAAAAUAUAUUCAUUAGUAGUUUGUU